UGCCAGCCGCCGCGGUAAUACGGAGGGUGCAAGCGUUAAUCGGAUUUAUUGGGCGUAAAGAGCGCGUAGGCGGGAAUGCAAGCCAGACGUGAAAUCCCGGGGCUCAACCCCGGAACUGCGUUUGGAACUGCAUUUCUUGAGGAUAGGCGGAGAAAACGGAAUUCCACGUGUAGCGGUGAAAUGCGUAGAUAUGUGGAAGAACACCAGUGGCGAAAGCGGUUUUCUAGCUUAUUCCUGACGCUGAGGCGCGAAAGCGAGGGGAGCAAACAGGAUUAGAUA
rnacentral:rRNA from 1 species